rnacentral:lncRNA from 1 species
GUCUCCAACGGCCCCGCGGACACGCUGGAUCUCACCUACUGGAUUGACGGCACCCGGCAUGUGGUCUCCCUGGAGGACGUCGGCCUGGCUGACUCGCAGUGGAAGAACGUCACCGUGCAGGUGGCUGGCGAGACCUACAGCUUGCACGUGGGCUGCGACCUCAUAGACAGCUUCGCUCUGGACGAGCCCUUCUACGAGCACCUGCAGGCGGAAAAGAGCCGGAUGUACGUGGCCAAAGGCUCUGCCAGAGAGAGUCACUUCAGGGGUUUGCUUCAGAACGUCCACCUAGUGUUUGAAAACUCUGUGGAAGAUAUUCUAAGCAAGAAGGGUUGCCAGCAAGGCCAGGGAGGUAGGUGUGUUGUGAAAAAUGCAUUUUAUAUACUGGCUUGGAUGGAUUUCUAUUGUGACAUGGUGUAUGUGUGUGUGUGUAUGUGUGUGCAUUCAUGCUUGUAAAAAUUUAAGUAAAAAUAUUUGGGUAACU